rnacentral:rRNA from 1 species
GCUAUCGGGGGUCCGACUAAGCCAUGCGAGUCAUGGGGCGCCUUGUGCGCACCGGCGGACGGCUCAGUAACACGUCGGUAACCUACCCUCGGGAGGGGGAUAACCCCGGGAAACUGGGGCUAAUCCCCCAUAGGCCUGAGGUACUGGAAGGUCCUCAGGUUGAAAGGGGCUUUGCCCGCCCGAGGAUGGGCCGGCGGCCGAUUAGGUAGUUGGUGGGGUAACGGCCCACCAAGCCGAAGAUCGGUACGGGCCAUGAGAGUGGGAGCCCGGAGAUGGACACUGAGACACGGGUCCAGGCCCUACGGGGCGCAGCAGGCGCGAAACCUCCGCAAUGCGGGAAACCGCGACGGGGGGACCCCCAGUGCCGUGGCAACGCCACGGCUUUUCCGGAGUGUAAAAAGCUCCGGGAAUAAGGGCUGGGCAAGGCCGGUGGCAGCCGCCGCGGUAAUACCGGCGGCCCGAGUGGUGGCCGCUAUUAUUGGGCCUAAAGCGUCCGUAGCCGGGCCUGUAAGUCCCUGGCGAAAUCCCACGGCUCAACCGUGGGGCUUGCUGGGGAUACUGCAGGCCUUGGGACCGGGAGAGGCCGGGGGUACUCCUGGGGUAGGGGUGAAAUCCUAUAAUCCCAGGAGGACCGCCAGUGGCGAAGGCGCCCGGCUGGAACGGGUCCGACGGUGAGGGACGAAGGCCAGGGGAGCGAACCGGAUUAGAUACCCGGGUAGUCCUGGCUGUAAAGGAUGCGGGCUAGGUGUCGGGCGAGCUCCGAGCUCGCCUGGUGCCGCAGGGAAGCCGUUAAGCCCGCCGCCUGGGGAGUACGGCCGCAAGGCUGAAACUUAAAGGAAUUGGCGGGGGAGCACUACAAGGGGUGGAGCGUGCGGUUUAAUUGGAUUCAACGCCGGGAACCUCACCGGGGGCGACGGCAGGAUGAAGGCCAGGCUGAAGGUCUUGCCGGACACGCCGAGAGGAGGUGCAUGGCCGCCGUCAGCUCGUACCGUGAGGCGUCCACUUAAGUGUGGUAACGAGCGAGACCCGCGCCCCCAGUUGCCAGUCCUCCCCGCUGGGGAGGAGGCACUCUGGGGGGACCGCCGGCGAUAAGCCGGAGGAAGGAGCGGGCGACGGUAGGUCAGUAUG